rnacentral:rRNA from 1 species
AGAGUUUGAUCAUGGCUCAGAAUGAACGCUAAUAGUAUGCAUUACACAUGCAAGUUGAACGGUAAAUUUUUAUCGUGGCGAACGGGUGAGGAAUAUACAGACUGCUACCUUUUAGUUUAGAACAACAAGAAUUUAUUUUGUAAAUUCUUAAAUUCUAAAUAAUUUUCAAAAGGUUAAUUUUUUCCGCUAAAAGAUGGGUUUGUAUAAGAUUAGGUAGUUGGUAAAUUUUAAAGCUUACCAAGCCAUUGAUCUUUAGUUGGUCUUAGAGGAUGAUCAACCACACUGGAACUGAAAUAAGGUCCAGGCUAAAUUUUUGGCCAGCAGUGAGGAAUAUUGGACUCAAUGAACGAAAGUUUGAUCCAGCAAUACUAUAUGAAUGAAGACGGCUUUAGUUGUAAAGUUCUUUGAUUAAGAAAUGAUAAAUGACAUUACUUAAAGUAGCUUAGUCCUGGCUAAUACUCGUGCCAGCAGUCGCGGUGAUACGGGAAGGGCAAGCGUUAUUCAUCAUAACUGGGCGUAAAGAGUCCGUAGACCGUAAAGUUAGUUACAAGUUUUAAAAAUUUAAAGCUUAACUUUAAAAUAGCUUGUAAUACUGCUUUACUUUGAGUUUUAUACAGAAGAGUAGAAUUUUAUAUGUAAGGGUAGAAUCUAAAAAUAUAUAAAGGAAUACCAAUAGCGAAGGCAACUCUUUGGUAAAAACUGACGUUGAGGGACGAAAGUUUAGGUAGCAAACAGGAUUAGAUACCCUAGUAGUCC